GAAAUGCGAUAAGUAAUGUGAAUUGCAGAAUUCAGUGAAUCAUCGAAUCUUUGAACGCACCUUGCGCUCCUUGGUAUUCCGAGGAGCAUGCCUGUUUGAGUGUCAUUAAAUUCUCAACCUUUAUCAGCUUUUGUUGAUAAUGGCUUGGAUUUGGGGGUUUCUUGUUGGCUUCUUAACGGAAGUCAGCUCCCCUUAAAUGUAUUAGCUGGUUGCCUUGUGCAGACUGUCUCUUGGCGUGAUAAUUAUCUACGUCUUGGACUUUCUGCCAGUAAUAUAUAGCACUGCUUCUAACUGUCUGUUGAAUCAGACAAUAUUUGACAAUUUGACCUCAAAUCAGGUAGGACUACCCGCUGAACUUAA
rnacentral:rRNA from 1 species